AUUGAACGCUGGCGGCAUGCCUUACACAUGCAAGUCGAACGGCAGCACGGGUGCUUGCACCUGGUGGCGAGUGGCGAACGGGUGAGUAAUAUAUCGGAACGUACCUUAUCGUGGGGGAUAACGCAGCGAAAGCUGCGCUAAUACCGCAUACGCCCUGAGGGGGAAANCGGGGGACCGUAAGGCCUCGCGCGAUUAGAGCGGCCGAUAUCUGAUUAGCUUGUUGGUGGGGUAAAGCCCACCAAGGCGACGAUCAGUAGCUGGUCUGAGAGGACGAUCAGCCACACUGGGACUGAGACACGGCCCAGACUCCUACGGGAGGCAGCAGUGGGGAAUUUUGGGACAAUGGGACGCAAGUCUGAUCCAGCCAUGCCGCGUGCGGGAAGAAGGCCUCGGUUGUAAACCGCUUUGUCAGGAGAAAGUCUUCUAGG
rnacentral:rRNA from 1 species